UUUUGGACAAUGGGCGCAAGCCUGAUCCAGCAAUGCCGCGUGAGUGAAGAAGGCCUUCGGGUUGUAAAGCUCUUUUGUCAGGGAAGAAACGGUGAGCUCUAAUACAGUUUGCUAAUGACGGUACCUGAAGAAUAAGCACCGGCUAACUACGUGCCAGCAGCCGCGGUAAUACGUAGGGUGCAAGCGUUAAUCGGAAUUACUGGGCGUAAAGCGUGCGCAGGCGGUUAUAUAAGACAGUUGUGAAAUCCCCGAGCUCAACCUGGGAAUUGCAUCUGUGACUGUAUAGCUAGAGUACGGUAGAGGGGGAUGGAAUUCCGCGUGUAGCAGUGAAAUGCGUAGAUAUUCGGAGGAACACCGAUGGCGAAGGCAAUCCCCUGGACCUAUACUGACGCUCAUCACGGA
rnacentral:rRNA from 1 species